rnacentral:rRNA from 1 species
GACGAACGCUGGCGGCGUGCUUAACACAUGCAAGUCGAACGGAGAGGCCCUGCUUUUGUGGGGUGCUCGAGUGGCGAACGGGUGAGUAACACGUGAGUAACCUGCCCUUGACUUUGGGAUAACUUCAGGAAACUGGGGCUAAUACCGGAUAGGAGCUCCUGCUGCAUGGUGGGGGUUGGAAAGUUUCGGCGGUUGGGGAUGGACUCGCGGCUUAUCAGCUUGUUGGUGGGGUAGUGGCUUACCAAGGCUUUGACGGGUAGCCGGCCUGAGAGGGUGACCGGCCACAUUGGGACUGAGAUACGGCCCAGACUCCUACGGGAAGCAGCAGUGGGGAAUAUUGCACAAUGGGCGGAAGCCUGAUGCAGCAACGCCGCGUGCGGGAUGACGGCCUUCGGGUUGUAAACCGCUUUCGCCUGUGACGAAGCGUGAGUGACGGUAAUGGGUAAAGAAGCACCGGCUAACUACGUG